rnacentral:rRNA from 1 species
AUUGAACGCUGGCGGCAUGCCUUACACAUGCAAGUCGAACGGUAACAGGUUAAGCUGACGCGUGGCGAGCGGGUGAGUAAUGUAUCGGAACGUGCCCCGUCGUGGGCGAUAACUGCUCGAAAGAGCAGCUAAUACCGCAUACGCCCUGACGGCGUAAGCGGUGGAUCGCAAAGCCUCGCGCCGUUGGACCUGCCGAUAUCGGAUUAGGUAGUUGGUGAGGUAAAGGCUCACCAAGGCGACGAUCUGUAGCUGGUCUGAGAGGACGACCAGCCACACUGGGACUGAGACACGGCCCAGACUCCUACGGGAGGCAGCAGUGGGGAAUAUUGGACAAUGGGCGCAAGCCUGAUCCAGCCAUGCCGCGUGCGGGAAGAAGGCCUUCGGGUUGUAAACCGCUUUUGUCAGGGAAGAAAAGGUUCUGGCUAAUACCUGGCAGUCAUGACGGUACCUGAAGAAUAAGCACCGGCUAACUACGUG